UCCCAUGAUAUACGAAUAAUGUCAAAAAUGUUAUUUUAUAAAGUAACAAUUCAUAGACUGGCCUUCAGUGUAGUUUCAAUUUCCUUGGAAUUAGCUCUUACAUGCAAUAAUUUACUAGCAUUGAAGACUUUUAUCAUUAUUAUCGUCUUGACUCAGGAUUAGUCUCAUUCCUGAUAAUAUUUAUGUGUCUAACUCCGUGCAGUCUUCAACUUCCUUUCUAGAACUGAUACCCUGCCUUUGCUCUCCUUAAUACUAAACUGAGGGGGAUCAAACAUAAGACAACUAUUAAAGGGGAUAACGAGUCUCCUAUGAAAAUUCCUCUCUUGAUAUCAACUUUUCUUAAGACUGUGUCACUCCUACUUUAGUGAUGAUCUGAGAUUGAAUGUUUCCUUCCAGGAAGCUCACUGAUACACCUCAAUGAUGUUCGUUGUACAUUAUUAUUCUUUUUAACUGAGGCUUUGUUGGAACGCUUUAAGUUUUGCAUGCAAAG